rnacentral:rRNA from 1 species
AGCAUAUCAAUAAGCGGAGGAAAAGAAACCAACAGGGAUUGCCCUAGUAACGGCGAGUGAAGCGGCAACAGCUCAAAUUUGAAAUCUGGCUCUUUCAGGGUCCGAGUUGUAAUUUGCAGAGGGCGCUUUGGCUUUGGCAGCGGUCCAAGUUCCUUGGAACAGGACGUCACAGAGGGUGAGAAUCCCGUACGUGGUCGCUAGCUAUUGCCGUGUAAAGCCCCUUCGACGAGUCGAGUUGUUUGGGAAUGCAGCUCUAAAUGGGAGGUAAAUUUCUUCUAAAGCUAAAUACUGGCCAGAGACCGAUAGCGCACAAGUAGAGUGAUCGAAAGAUGAAAAGCACUUUGGAAAGAGAGUCAAACAGCACGUGAAAUUGUUGAAAGGGAAGCGCUUGCAGCCAGACUUGCUUGCAGUUGCUCAUCCGGGCUUUUGCCCGGUGCACUCUUCUGCAGGCAGGCCAGCAUCAGUUUGGGCGGUGGGAUAAAGGUCUCUGUCACGUACCUCUCUUCGGGGAGGCCUUAUAGGGGAGACGACAUACCACCAGCCUGGACUGAGGUCCGCGCAUUCGCUAGGAUGCUGGCGUAAUGGCUGUAAGCGGCCCGUCUUGAAACACGGACCAAGGAGUCUAACAUCUAUGCGAGUGUUUGGGUGUCAAGCCCGAACGCGUAAUGAAAGUGAACGGAGGUGGGAACCCGCAAGGGUGCACCAUCGACCGAUCCUGAUGUCUUCGGAAGGAUUUGAGUAAGAGCAUGGCUGUUGGGACCCGAAAGAUGGUGAACUAUGCUUGAAUAGGGUGAAGCCAGAGGAAACUCUGGUGGAGGCUCGCAGCGGUUCUGACGUGCAAAUCGAUCGUCAAAUUUGGGCAUAGGGGCGAAAGACUAAUCGAACUAUCUAGUAGCUGGUUCUGCGA